UGCGAAGAAGAACAUCCAGCGGAUGGUCAACAGCCGCCAGCCGGCCGGGGUCAGAUUGAACAUCUGGUCGAACAUGAUGGCGAUGAACGAACGCCCCAGCAGCAAUCCGAUCCCCAGCGUCAGGGCGAACAGCGCAUAGAUGAUGGUCGGCUUGAUCUUGAUAAAAAGUUCAUCGUGAAAGAACAGCGUCAGCCCGCCAAACACCAGCACGAUCACCGCGGUGACGAUCGCCAUCAGCGGCACAUGGCGCGUCACGAUGUAGGACGCGGCAAUCGCCGCGACGAUCGCCACCAUGAACGCACCGGUGGCGACGAACAGUCCGAACUUCGCGUUGGCCCCGAAGAAGAUCACCAGCGGACCGAGUUCGGUCGCGAGCUUGAACAGCGGAUG
rnacentral:misc_RNA from 1 species